UGAAUUUCAUGACUUAGCUUUUUUUAAAUUGGCCUAAGAACUAUAUUUGUUAAUUAGUUUUAUGGAAAGAUUUGUUCAAUGGAAUUUAGGCCAUAACCAAGCUUAGGAAUUUAUGGAGGGUUAAUGGUGAGGGUUGAAGUGAUGAUGGUGAAGUUGUGGAGGAAUUUAUGGUAGUGACAAUAUUGUGAAGGAAAUAAUGGUAUGGUGCAACAAUAGUUCAAUGUUGAUGGCAAUAAUGGUGGUGGUUUCAAGAUAAUUGUCAAGAAACAAUGGUAGUGUAGUUAUGGUGGUGAUGAUGGUAAGAUUUGGAUGAGGUUAUGAUGUGGAUCCACUAAGAUAUGAUGUCAAACUAGAGGUGUCAAUGGCAAUGUUGUAGGCAAGGGUGGUAAUUUGAUGAUAAUGAUGUGAUGGUGAAAGUGGUGACGAUAUUAGUGUUGUAGUGGCGGCAAUAUUAGUGUUGUAGUGGCGGCAAUAUUAGUGUUGUAGUGGCGGCGAUAUUAGUGUUGUGGUGGCGGCGAUAUUAAUGUAGUAAUGGCGGCGAUAUUAGUGUAGUAGUGGCGGCGAUAUUGGUGGUAUGGUGAUAGGGAUGGUUGUGGUGGUGGCAAGUGUGAGGAUGAUGGUGACAAUAAUGGGUAUAUAUGAGUGAGGUUGUAACAAUGGUUGUGUGAUGGCAAUGGUAGUUGUGGGUGGGCGUAUAAUUUCUACCUUAGCCUUUAUAAUCUUGAAAUAUAAUAGGGGAAUAAGAUAAGAUACGUGCAUCUUUAACCAUAAUACUCUUUGACAAAAAUAUUUUUUUUUUAAAAUGUGUACCAAUGGCACAAAAAAGGAGAGAGAAAUCAUGUGGAUUGUAUUAGAGAUUGUGGAAUCCAAAUAAGAAUGUUGGAC
rnacentral:lncRNA from 1 species